AUGAGAGGACUUUCAAGGUGCAUCAGACAUGUUCAUAACAGGCAUGUCUACUCUCUUUUCAUCCAGGAGACCUCAAACCUGCCGUGACUCUGGUCUCUCCAGCUUCCACAGCACCAAGCCCAGAGGCCUCCUUAUCCACUCAGACGCAGCCAGCAUUAGGGAGGAUGUGAGAUUGCUUGCUUCAGG
rnacentral:lncRNA from 1 species